CACGCUGUAAACGAUGAUUACUAAGUGUUGGAGCAAUUCAGUGCUGCAGUUAACGCAAUAAGUAAUCCGCCUGGGGAGUAUGCACGCAAGUGUGAAACUCAAAGGAAUUGACGGGGGCCCGCACAAGCGGUGGAGUAUGUGGUUUAAUUCGAAGCAACGCGAAGAACCUUACCAAGUCUUGACAUACCGCGCAAGGCCCUGGAGACAGGGAGAUAGUUAUGGCGGAUACAGGUGGUGCAUGGUUGUCGUCAGCUCGUGUCGUGAGAUGUUGGGUUAAGUCCCGCAACGAGCGCAACCCUUAUCUUUAGUUACCAUCAUUCAGUUGGGGACUCUAGAGAGACUGCCGGUGACAAACCG
rnacentral:rRNA from 1 species